rnacentral:rRNA from 1 species
GCGUCGUUUGCGACGCCCAACACACAAAGCAAGCGGUGAGUGCUUUGGGGUGGGGUGACUGCGUACCUUUUGUAUAAUGGGUCAGCGACUUAUAUUCUGUAGCAAGGUUAACCGUAUAGGGGAGCCGUAGGGAAACCGAGUCUUAACCGGGCGUUAAGUUGCAGGGUAUAGACCCGAAACCCGGUGAUCUAGCCAUGGGCAGGUUGAAGGUUGGGUAACACUAACUGGAGGACCGAACCGACUAAUGUUGAAAAA